rnacentral:rRNA from 1 species
AGAGUUUGAUCAUGGCUCAGGACGAACGCUGGCGGUGUGCUUAAGACAUGCAAGUCGUGCGGACCGUAGCAAUACGGUCAGCGGCGGACGGGUGAGUAACACGUGGAUAACCUGCCUGACUCCCCGGGAUAACAGGCCGAAAGGCCUGCUAAUACCGGGUAAGCUCACGGGGCCGCAUGGUCCUGGGAGAAAAGCUCCUGCAAGGGAGUGGGGUCAGAGGGGUCCGCGGCCCAUUAGCUAGUUGGGGGGGUAACGGCCCACCAAGGCGACGAUGGGUAGCCGGCCUGAGAGGGCGACCGGCCACACUGGGACUGAGACACGGCCCAGACUCCUACGGGAGGCAGCAGUCGGGAAUUUUGGGCAAUGGCCGAAAGGGCUGACCCAGCAACACCGCGUGAGUGAAGAAGGCCUUCGGGUUGUAAAGCUCUGUUGCCCGUGAAGAACGGUACUAUCAGGAAAUGGGUAGUACUUGACGGUAGCGGGUGAGGAAGCUCCGGCUAACUACGUGCCAGCAGCCGCGGUAAUACGUAGGGAGCGAGCGUUGUCCGGAUUUAUUGGGCGUAAAGGGCGUGUAGGCGGCUUUUUAAGUCUGAAGUGAAACGCCAGGGCUCAACCCUGGAACUGCUUCGGAUACUGGGAAGCUUGAGUACUCUAGAGGGCAGUGGAAUUCCGGGUGUAGCAGUGAAAUGCGUAGAGAUCCGGAGGAACACCAGUGGCGAAGGCGACUGCCUGGGGAGAAACUGACGCUGAGGCGCGAAAGCUGGGGGAGCAAACGGGAUUAGAUACCCCGGUAGUCCCAGCCGUAAACGAUGAGUGCUAGGUGUAGGGGGUAUCGACCCCCCCUGUGCCGGAGUUAACGCAAUAAGCACUCCGCCUGGGGAGUACGGCCGCAAGGUUGAAACUCAAGGAAUUGACGG